rnacentral:rRNA from 1 species
UACGUAGGGACCGAGCGUUGUCCGGAUUCAUUGGGCGUAAAGAGCUCGUAGGCGGCCACUCAAGUCGAAUGUGAAACCUCGAGGCUUAACCUCGAGCCUGCAUUUGAUACUGGGCGGCUAGAGUCUGGUAGGGGGAUCUGGAAUUCCUGGUGUAGCGGUGGAAUGCGCAGAUAUCAGGAGGAACACCGGUGGCGAAGGCGGCAUCCUGGACCAACACUGACACUGAGGAGCGAAAGCCAGGGGAGCAAACGGG